rnacentral:rRNA from 1 species
CAGAGGGUGCAAGCGUUAUCCGGAUUUAUUGGGCGUAAAGCGUUUCGUAGGUGGUUUAGUAAGUUAAAUUUCAAAGACCAGGGCUUAACCCGGGGAAGGGAUUUAAUACUGCUAGACUUGAGAAUUUUAGGGGCAAUCGGAACUGUUGGUGUAGGGGUGAAAUCCGUUGAUAUCAACAGGAACGUCAAGGGCGUAGGCAGAUUGCUGGGAAAUUUCUGACACUGAGGAACGAAAGCUAGGGGAGCGAAAGGGAUUAGAGACCCCUGUAGUCCUAGCCGUAAACUUUGCCUGCUAGCGAUGGGGAGUUAAAUCUCCGUUGCGUAAGCUAACGCGUUAAGCGGGCCGCCUGGGGAGUACGAACGCAAGUUUA